UAAGUGCCAUGUCGCCAUUAUACUAAGUCGUUCUGACAUCUUCAAUGCUUAACACUGAAAUAUAUGGUAACCUUUCCCCCUUUCAAAACGGCUUUGUAUCCUCUGAGGUAAAAUCAGUCGUCGUCAUCACUCACCAGUCACCGCCAUGAAGCUCCUUGUCGUUUUCAUCAUCGUCACCCUUAUGGCCGCUUAUUGCCAGGCACAGAGAAUUGCUCAACAACAACAACAACAGCAAGGCGGAGGUUUCAAUAUGAAUCAGUUUCUACAAUUUAUGCUUCAAACUCAGAUGUCAAACACUCAAAAUGCUUUCAUGAUGGCCGCCAUGUCCUGAUUCAGAAACGUAUUCUGAGAAAUAAACGAUGAAAACGUU